CGGCAGGUUAAGGCCUUACGGGCUGUAGCCAGAGGGAAACCGAGUCUUAAUAGGGCGAAAUUGUCGCGGGCGGUAGACGCGAAACCUAGUGAUCUACCCAUGAGCAGGUUGAAGCGCGGGUCAUACCGCGUGGAGGACCGAACCCACUUGGGUUGAAAACCGAGGGGAUGACUUGUGGGGAGGAGUGAAAGUCUAAUCAAACGUGGAGAUAUCUCGUUCUCUCCGAAAUAGCUUUUGGGCUAGCCUUGAGCCACUACACACCGGGGGUAGAGAGACUGAAUCGGUUUGGGG
rnacentral:rRNA from 1 species